GGCAUGGAAUCUACAGGAAUUCAUGAGACUACGUACAACUCCAUUAUGAAAUGCGAUGUGGAUAUCCGAAAGGACUUGUACGCC
rnacentral:pre_miRNA from 1 species